UACCUGACAAGACACCAAGAAAGAUAAGGUUUCUUGGACUUGCAGUUCCAAGAGAUACAGUUCAACAUGGCAGAGGAGGUACAGCAGGAGGGGCAGGAGGCAGCUGGUUACAUCACCUCCACUGUCAGAAAACAGCAACGAGUACCUAUACUCAGGUCAUUUUCUCCUGCCUAAUCAGUCCCAGAUUCAACCCAUGGAAUAGUACCGCUCCCAUUUAGGGUGGGCCUUCCCAUCCCCAGAAACCUAUGCCACAUCAUUCUUCACAGAUCUGCCCAGAGAUAUGGAGAAUCUAAAUCUCAUCGACAGCCAAGAGGACCAUCAUGCCUUCCAAAGGGAGCACUCACUGUCCUAGGCAUGGGCAGUGAAGAGAAGCAAAGACAUCAACUUUGAGAGACACAGAUUCCUCCUGGAUGUGGCCCUGUAGCAUCAGCCUGGGAUAUGGGGGAUAUGGCCUCCUGAGUCUGCAUUCGAGGUCUAGAUGGACAGAUAAAUGUACCAUCACUGAACAGAGGCUGAUGUUACAAGGAAGCACGGGCUCUGCAUUGACUCCCGGUGGCCCACUCACCAGUGAUGUGAUUUUGAGCAUGUCUCAAUUUUGUGUAUAACAUGAGAGUCGCUCUGGCAUAACUGGCAUGAUACAUGAAAAGCUGUUUGGUGGAACUGCCUUCUAAUUAUUUAUCCUUAUACCCAUA